rnacentral:rRNA from 1 species
UACGUAGGGGGCUAGCGUUGUCCGGAUUUAUUGGGCGUAAAGAGCGUGUAGGCGGCCAGGUAGGUCUGCUGUGAAAACUCGAGGCUUAACCUCGAGAUGUCGGCGGAAACCAUCUGGCUAGAGUCCGGAAGAGGAGAGUAGAAUUCCUGGUGUAGCGGUGAAAUGCGCAGAUAUCAGGAAGAACACCCGUGGCGAAGGCGGCUCUCUGGGACGGUACUGACGCUGAGACGCGAAAGCGUGGGGAGCGAACAGG